CCUACGGGUGGCAGCAGUGGGGAAUAUUGGGCAAUGGGCGCAAGCCUGACCCAGCAACGCCGCGUGAAGGAAGAAGGCUUUCGGGGUGUAAACUUCUUUUAAGAGGGAAGAGCAGAAGACGGUACCUCUUGAAUAAGACACGGCUAACUACGUGCCAGCAGCCGCGGUCAUACGUAGGUGGCAAGCGUUGUCCGGAUUUACUGGGUGUAAAGGGCGUGCAGCCGGGAAGACAAGUCAGAUGUGAAAUCCCGCGGCUCAACCGCGGAACUGCAUUUGAAACUGUUUUUCUUGAGUACCGGAGCGGUAAUCGGAAUGCCUGGUGUAGCGGUGAAAUGCGUAGAUAUAAGGCAGAACACCAGUGGCGAAGGCGGAUGACUGGACGGCAACUGACGGUGAGGCGCGAAAGCGUGGGGAGCAAACAGGAUUAGAUACCCCAGUAGUC
rnacentral:rRNA from 1 species